rnacentral:pre_miRNA from 1 species
UUCUUAUUGGAUGAUGACUAUCACGUGUCAUGUUCUGAUUGGAUGUCAACUUUAUGGAAGAUGAAAUGCAUUGUUGUUGUCGUUGAUCAAUCAGAACAUGACACCCGUCAUCAUCCAAUAAGAACGUGACACGUGACAGUUAACAUUC